UCCGUAGUGACCUGCGGAGGAUCAUUA
rnacentral:rRNA from 1 species